rnacentral:rRNA from 1 species
UACGUAGGGUCCGAGCGUUGUCCGGAAUUAUUGGGCGUAAAGAGCUCGUAGGCGGUUUGUCGCGUCUGCUGUGAAAUCCCGAGGCUCAACCUCGGGUCUGCAGUGGGUACGGGCAGACUGGAGUGCGGUAGGGGAGAAUGGAAUUCCUGGUGUAGCGGUGGAAUGCGCAGAUAUCAGGAGGAACACCGAUGGCGAAGGCGGCAUCCUGGACCGGUAUUGACACUGAGGCGCGAAAGCCAGGGGAGCAAACGGG